GGUUAAGCGACUAAGCGUACACGGUGGAUGCCUAGGCAAUCAGAGGCGAUGAAGGACGUGCUAAUCUGCGAAAAGCGUCGGUAAGGUGAUAUGAACCGUUAUAACCGACGAUAUCCGAAUGGGGAAACCCAGUGCAAUUCGUUGCACUAUCGUUUGAUGAAUCCAUAGUCAAACGAGGCGAACCGGGGGAACUGAAACAUCUCAGUACCCCGAGGAAAAGAAAUCAACCGAGAUUCCCCUAGUAGCGGCGAGCGAACGGGGAGCAGCCCAGAGUCUUAAUCAGCAUCAGCAUCAGGAGAACGGUCUGGAAAGGCCGGCAAUAAAGGGUGAUAGCCCCGUAUCCGAAGGUGUUGGUGUUGUGAACUCGACGAGUAGGGCGGGACACGUGUUAUCCUGUCUGAAUAUGGGGGGACCAUCCUCCAAGGCUAAAUACUCCUGAUUGACCGAUAGUGAACCAGUACCGUGAGGGAAAGGCGAAAAGAACCCCGGCGAGGGGAGUGAAAUAGAACCUGAAACCGUGUACGUACAAGCAGUGGGAGCC
rnacentral:rRNA from 1 species